AGUGAACGCUGGCGGUAGGCCUAACACAUGCAAGUCGAACGGCAGCACAGUAAGAGCUUGCUCUUACGGGUGGCGAGUGGCGGACGGGUGAGGAAUACAUCGGAAUCUACUUUUUCGUGGGGGAUAACGUAGGGAAACUUACGCUAAUACCGCAUACGACCUACGGGUGAAGGCAGGGGAUCUUCGGACCUUGCGCGAUUGAAUGAGCCGAUGUCGGAUUAGCUAGUUGGCGGGGGAAAGGCCCACCAAGGCGACGAUCCGUAGCUGGUCUGAGAGGAUGGGCAGCCACACUGGAACUGAGACACGGUCCAGACUCCUACGGGAGGCAGCAGUGGGGAAUAUUGGACAAUGGGCGCAAGCCUGAUCCAGCCAUACCGCGUGGGUGAAGAAGGCCUUCGGGUUGUAAAGCCCUUUUGUUGGGAAAGAAAAGCAGCAGGUUAAUACCCCGCUGUUCUGACGGUACCCAAAGAAUAAGCACCGGCUAACUUCGUG
rnacentral:rRNA from 1 species